CCUACGGGUGGCAGCAGUGGGGAAUAUUGCUCAAUGGGGGAAACCCUGAUGCAGCGACGCCGCGUGAGUGAUGAAGUACUUCGGUAUGUAAAGCUCUAUCAGCAGGGAAGAAAAUGAAGGUACCUGAUCAUGAAGCCACGGCUAACUACGUGCCAGCAGGCGCGGUAAUACGUAGGGGGCAAGCGUUAUCAGGAUUUACUGGGUGUAAAGGGGGCGUAGACGGCAGGACAAGUCUGGAGGGAAAUGCCGGGGCUUAACCCCGGAACUGCUUUGGAAACUGUGCAGCUAGAGUGCAGGAGAGGUAAGUGGAAUUCCUGGUGUAGCGGUGAAAUGCGUAGAUAUUAGGAGGAACACCAGUGGCGAAGGCGGCUUACUGGACUGUAACUGACGUUGAGGCUCGAAAGCGUGGGGAGCAAACAGGAUUAGAUACCCCGGUAGUC
rnacentral:rRNA from 1 species